GACGAACCGUGCGAACGUUAUUCGGAAUCACUGGGCUUAAAGCGCGUGUAGGCGGAGCGACGCGUCGGAUGUUGAAAGCCCCCGGCUCAACCGGGGAACGGGCACCGAAACGGUCGUUCUGGAGGGGCGUAGGGGGAGCUGGAACUUCCGGUGGAGCGGUGAAAUGCGUUGAGAUCGGAAGGAACGCCCGUGGCGAAAGCGAGCUCCUGGACGCCAACUGACGCUGAGACGCGAAAGCCAGGGGAGCGAACGGG
rnacentral:rRNA from 1 species